CACAUCACUCCAUCUUCAUUUCUUUCUCCUGAUAAACUAAGUGAGCAAGAGGCAGCACUUAGGAAGUGGAGAAGCAAGCCAUCCUUGAGGCUUAGAGGAGGGAUUCAAGCUUUGGAGAGCAUCAAGCUUGAGUAUUCAUGUCGGACAUGUAGCAAUUUAAUGCAAACUUGAUUAACAAAUGGAAAAAUAGCAAAAUGUUGAAAUAUUACUUGCUAGUGAUGCAAGUUUGGCACAAGAUUGGAUUGUUGAUAAUGAUGAAGUUGAGGUUGAAGUUGAAGAUGAAGUGGAUAAUGAUGAGGAACGUGAUGAAGCACAAAGACCAUGACGGAGUUGUAGAUUAAGGGAGCUUGAAGAAAAUAACUUUGAAUCCGAAAGUGAAGAAGAAGUUGAUGUGGCUGUUGAGUUUGAAGAUGAUAAAAAUCGUG